AUAUAUAUACAUAUACAUAUACUAAACUCAACCUAGGCAUACAACCUAUAAUAUCCUAUUACUUCUUCUCAAUUAUUAGCUUUUCUUUUGUUGGGUUUUGAGAAGCAAAACAUAAUGAGUGAUACAAAAAAUGCUUAUCCAGACCCUCCUCCAGAAACUUAUGUCCCUCCUCCUGCAAUAGCACCUCCUCAAUAUCCAGCUCCAGAGCCUAAGAAAGAAGAACCUGGUUUUCUUGAGGGGUGCCUUGCAGCUCUGUGUUGCUGCUGUCUUAUGGACGGAUGCUGCUGUGAUCCUUCUUCAUAUUGCUGAAACGAUUUAAUAAGUGUAGCCAAUAAACAUGUUCUCGUAUAUUACAAUAAGAGAAGAGUCAUGGUUUGUGAAAGUGGAUUACUUUUUGGAGUGGAAGUGAUUAUCCAUAAUAUAUCUUUAGUUAUUUCUUAA